rnacentral:rRNA from 1 species
GAUGAACGCUGGCGGCGUGCCUAAUACAUGCAAGUCGAGCGAACGGACGAGAAGCUUGCUUCUCUGAUGUUAGCGGCGGACGGGUGAGUAACACGUUGAUAACCUACCUAUAAAACUGGGAUAACUUCGGGAAACCGGAGCUAAUACCGGAUAAUAUUUUGAACCGCAUGGUUCAAAAGUGAAAGACGGUCUUGCUGUCACUUAUAGAUGGAUCCGCGCUGCAUUAGCUAGUUGGUAAGGUAACGGCUUACCAAGGCAACGAUGGAUAGCCGACCUGCGAGGGUGAUCGGCCACACUGGAACUGAGACACGGUCCAGAAUCCUACGGGAGGCAGCAGUAGGGAAUCUUCCGCAAUGGGCGAAAGCCUGACGGAGCAACGCCGCGUGAGUGAUGAAGGUCUUCGGAUCGUAAAACUCUGUUAUUAGGGAAGAACAUAUGUGUAAGUAACUGUGAACAUCUUGACGGUACCUAAUCAGAAAGCCACGGCUAACUACGUG